GUUAUGGUUAGUGUUUGUGACUUUAGCUCUUGAUAGAUAUACCACAUUAACACAUAUUGUUCCCUUGCUUGUUUAGAGCCUUCUUAUUGCAUCAUGCUUAUCCAUGAUAUGUUAUCUAUCUAAUCUGUAGUUUUGCAAUAUAAUGUCUUUUGAUAUUUUUGUAUCUUCCCUAAAGUUUGCACCUUUUUAGAGAAAUGAGGCUGAUGUGCCCAUGGAUCGACGACCAAGCCUCUCAAAAAGGUUGCAGGCAAGAGGACUCGCCAAUUCCCGAAGGAAACUACUAGAAAGCUUUCCAUAGGUGGAUACGAUGAAGAGGAUGGUGCUGAUGCCUACACAGAUGGUCCUGAUAUACCUUGAUCCGAUGAAGAUGCCAUCUAGACAAAAGAUAAAGGAUCUUUUGCUUUUGUGCUCCUAGAAAUUAUGCAGUUGAUACUUUUUUUAUCAACUUCUACCUUCCAUCCUGGUUGAUGAAACUUUGUGUUUUUGCGUCUGUUAAAACAUUGUAGAGGACAUGUUGGUCUACUUCUACCUUAUCCUCUGUAGUUAUGCUUGUCUUGUGUACCUGGAGCAUCUUGUUGACCCCCUUGACUUUGGGCCUUCAGUGAUAGUAUCAGGACCCUAACAUAUCGACCGAUUUUUUUUGCAUUUUAAACCCUUGUAUAAAAAAUCACGUAUAGACCUCUAACAAUAUUCUCGUUUUUUGGA